rnacentral:rRNA from 1 species
GUUAGGAAUAUUGGACAAUGGGCGCAAGCCUGAUCCAGCCAUGCCGCGUGAGUGAUGAAGGCCUUCGGGUUGUAAAGCUCUUUAGUCCACGAAUAUAAUGACUGUAGUGGAAGAAUAAGCCCCGGCUAACUUCGUGCCAGCAGCCGCGGUAAUACGAAGGGGGCGAGCGUUAUUCGGAAUCACUGGGCGUAAAGCGUGCGUAGGCUGUUUUGUAAGUCAGAAGUGAAAGCCCAGGGCUGAACCCUGGAAUUGCUUUUGAAACUACAAGACUCGAAUUCGGGAGAGGAUAGCGGAAUUGUCAGUGUAGCAGUGAAAUGCGUAGAUAUUGACAGGAACACCAGUGGCGCAAGCGGCUAUCUGGACCGAUAUUGACGCUGAGGCACGAAAGCGUGGGGAGCAAACAGGAUUAGAAACCCCGGUAGUCC